GAUGAACGCUGGCGGCGUGCUUAAUACAUGCAAGUCGAGCGAACGGACGCGAAGCUUGCUUUUCUGAUGUUAGCGGCGGACGGGUGUGUAACACGUGGAUCACCUACCUAUAUGACUGGGAUAACUUCGGGAAACCGGAUCUAAUCCCGUAUAAUCUUUUGCACCGCAUGGUUCAUAAGUGAAAGACGGCCUUUCUGUCACUUAUCGCUGGAUCCGCGCUUCAUUAGCUAGUUGUUAGGGUAACGGCUUAUCAAGGCAACGAUGCAUAGCCGACCUGAGAGAGUGAUAGGCCACACUGGAAGUGAGACACGGUCAAGACGACUAAGAGAGGCAGCAGUAGGGAAUGUUCGGCAGAGGGCGAAAGCAUGACGGAGCAACGCCGAGUGAGUGAUGAAGGUCUUCGGAUCGUAAAACACUGUUAUGAGGGAAGAACAGAUGUGGAAGUAACUGUGCACAGCGUGACGGUACCGAAUCAGAAAGCAACGGCUAACUACGUG
rnacentral:rRNA from 1 species